rfam:Heterocephalus glaber contig212172, whole genome shotgun sequence.
GCCUUCUUAGCGCAGCAGGCAGCGCGUCAGCCUCAUAAUCUGAAGGUCCUGAGUUUGAGCCUCAGAGAAGGCA